CUGAAAGAAGCAAGUUGUUUGUCACCUAUAAUUUGUCAGGGGAAAGUGGAGGCUGGAGUAUCUCUCUUCAGUGAGUGCCGUGGGGUACCAAACUAAAGAAAACAUCCUUACCACAUUCAACCUAAGUGAUUCAGAAUUGAAUGGUAGAGCUGUCCAUUUGUCAGGCUCUACGACGUUGGAAUGACACUACUGUUCUGUGUCAAAAGCAAGGCCUUGCCACAGUUUUGGAGAAUCCUCUUCCUGUGGCUCGCACUCCCAGUGGUUGGUUCCACGAACAGCAUCCUUUUCCUUCGAUCCUGCAGGCCUGUGGUAAUGGCUCCUGUUUCCUCUGCUGCUAGUUCUUGGAAGUUUCACCAUUCCUUGCUGUUUUCCUCAACUCUGCCCACAGCUCUGAAAAUAGUCUUCAUUAAACUGUUCUCAGUUAAAGCUUCGAGUGUGUGCCAAUGUGGGAUUGACUGUAAGGAAAAUGGAUGUGCUGUGGUCAAGAACAGGCCGAGGCAGACACCGGUCCAGCAG
rnacentral:lncRNA from 13 species